UGAGGAAUUUUGGUCAAUGGGGGAAACCCUGAACCAGCGACGCCGCGUGAGGGACGAAGGGGCUUUGCCUUGUAAACCUCUGUCGGGUGGGAAGAAAAGCCGUAUGAACGGCUGGGACUGUACCACCAAAGGAAGGGUCGGCUAACUACGUGCCAGCAGCCGCGGUAAUACGUAGGACCCAAGCGUUGUCCGGAUUUACUGGGUGUAAAGGGUGCGUAGGCGGGCUUGUGCGUCAGAGGUUAAAUACCUCCGCUCAACGGAGGAAAUGCCUUUGAUACGGCAAGUCUUGAGUACAAGAGAGGAUGGUGGAAUUCCUGGUGUAGCGGUGAAAUGCGUAGAUAUCAGGAGGAACACCAGUGGCGAAGGCGGCCAUCUGGCUUGUUACUGACGCUGAGGCACGAAAGCGUGGGGAUCAAACAGG
rnacentral:rRNA from 1 species